GUACUUACCUGGCAGGAGAGAUACCAUGAUCAUGAAGGUGGUUUUCCUGGGGCAAGGCUUAUCCAUUGCACUCUGAAUGUACUGAUCUCUGUGAUCUUCCCAAAUGUGGGAAAUGAAACAGACUCUUAACUAUAGAAAAC
ensembl:snRNA U1 U1 spliceosomal RNA